UCUUUUGUAAAAUGGAGACAUUUCAAAUGGUUCUUGUGAAAAUUCAGUGAGCUCACACUUGUGAAAGGACUGGACUCUGACCAGUACAUAGCAGCUGCUCAGCGCGCGUCAGAAGCGGGGCCUGGGGUGGUACGGGGGGCACAGCGCGGUAGGGUGAUGUGCUCCAUGCUGCAUUUUGUGUAGACCAGGCCUCACGGGAUUGCAAAGGAGCAUCAAAAUCCCAGAGUUCUAAGAGCGAGAAAAAACCACUCGAAAUCAUCUUUCUGUGCGGACGGUUGUUGCCCUGAGUCUAGCACGUGUUUUAUUUAAUCCAUGUAUAAAAAAAAAUAAGGCAGUAUUUACAGACUAAGAAACUGCUCAUAAAAACUUGAACUUUCAUCUUCUUUUGAAAUGUAUGGCCGUCCGUCCACACCGGUGUGCAUUCUGAGUCAUCUGGAUCUGCUGCAGUGGGGCCGUGACUGCUGCCUUCAGACCGGACAGAGGCUCUUCGGGGAUGGCACCAGGAUCCAUUCAGGAUUUCGAGAAGAUGGUAGACACCGAUUAUGAGUGCGCAGAGAAUGAUUUGUGACUAUACAUUUACUCAAGCCAUCCCUUCGUGCAUCCAGCCAAGAAAGCAAAGUCUGUUCCCUGUAUUUUCACGUAUCUUAUGUUAUUCAUGAUAAUAAAAUUAAAUAGUACUUUUAA